GACGAACGCUGGCGGCGUGCCUAAUACAUGCAAGUCGAGCGGACGGAUGGGAGCUUGCUCCCAGGCCGUCAGCGGCGGACGGGUGAGUAACACGUGGGCAACCUGCCUGUAAGACUGGGAUAACUCCGGGAAACCGGGGCUAAUACCGGAUAACUCUUUCCCUCACAUGAGGGAAAGCUGAAAGAUGGCAGCUCGCUAUCACUUACAGAUGGGCCCGCGGCGCAUUAGCUAGUUGGUGAGGUAACGGCUCACCAAGGCGACGAUGCGUAGCCGAACUGAGGGGGUGAUCGGCCACACUGGGACUGAGACACGGACAAGACUACUACGGGAGGCAGCAGUAGGGAAUCUUACGCAAUGGACGAAAGUAUGGCGGAGCAACGCCGAGUGAGUGAUGACGGUGUUCGGAUCGUAAAACUCUGUUGUCAGGGAAGAACAAGUACCGGAGUAACUGCCGGUACCUUGACGGUACCUGACCAGAAAGCAACGGCUAACUACGUG
rnacentral:rRNA from 1 species